GACAUAGGUGGCAAACGUUAUCCGGAAUUACUGGGCGUAAAGCGCACGUAGGCGGCUUUGUAAGUUAGAGGUGAAAGCCCGGGGCUCAACUCCGGAACUGCCUUUAAGACUGCAUCGCUUGAAUCCAGGAGAGGUGAGUGGAAUUCCGAGUGUAGAGGUGAAAUUCGUAGAUAUUCGGAAGAACACCAGUGGCGAAGGCGGCUCACUGGACUGGUAUUGACGCUGAGGUGCGAAAGCGUGGGGAGCAAACAGG
rnacentral:rRNA from 1 species